UGGGAGAGAGGAGCAAUCAACUUCACCAGGUGAACACAGGGAGAGAGGAGCAAUCAACUUCACCAGGUGAACGCUGGGAGAGAGGAGCAAUCAACUUCACCAGGUGAACGCUGGGAGAGAGGAGCAAUCAACUUCACCAGGUGAACACAGGGAGAGAGGAGCAAUCAACUUCACCAGGUGAACACAGGGAGAGAGGAGCAAUCAACUUCACCAGGUGAACACAGGGAGAGAGGAGCAAUCAACUUCACCAGGUGAACACAGGGAGAGAGGAGCAAUCAACUUCACCAGGUGAACACAGGGAGAGAGGAGCAAUCAACUUCACCAGGUGAACACAGGGAGAGAGGAGCAAUCAACUUCACCAGGUGAACACAGGGAGAGAGGAGCAAUCAACUUCACCAGGUGAACACAGGGAGAGAGGAGCAAUCAACUUCACCAGGUGAACGCUGGGAGAGAGGAGCAAUCAACUUCACCAGGUGAACACAGGGAGAGAGGAGCGCCCUUCUCGUUCCAAAAAGAAUGCAAUCAACUUCACCAGGUGCAAAACAUGCCUACACGGGCACCCGGGCUAAGAUUAAUAGAACCCCCCUUUACAGAAAACAAAUGUACAUGUUCCAUUGUUCAGUACAACAUAAUAUCACAAUCUAUUGGUCAGUCUACACUAAUAAUAAUUGGUUAGAUUCAUGGAAGUCAUCCAACCUAACGUUUGAUGUUAUUUUAGUGUUUUCACAUUCCAUUGGUCAGUGCAACAUGCACUCAGAAUCAAUUGGUCUUUCUACAAAUGUUUUAACCUAUCACAUGUUUUUAUUAGCAU